rnacentral:tRNA from 1 species
CACCAGGUGACUGAAAGUAAGUGUAGGUCUUUUAAACCUAUAAUAGUAAUUAACGCUCACUCCUGGUGA